rnacentral:rRNA from 1 species
CCUACGGGAGGCAGCAGUGGGGGAUAUUGCACAAUGGGGGAAACCCUGAUGCAGCGACGCCGCGUGAGUGAAGAAGUAUUUCGGUAUGUAAAGCUCUAUCAGCAGGGAAGAAAAUGACAGUACCUGACCAAGAAGCCCCGGCUAACUACGUGCCAGCAGCCGCGGUAAUACGGAGGGGGCAAGCGUUAUCCGGAUUUACUGGGCGUAAAGGGAGCGUAGACGGUUAUGUAAGUCUGGAGUGAAAGCCCGGGGCCCAACCCCGGGACUGCUUUGGAAACUGUGUGACUGGAGUGGAGGAGGGGUAAGCGGAAUGCCUGGUGUAGCGGUGAAAUGCGUAGAUAUCAGGAGGAACACCGGUGGCGAAGGCGGCUUACUGGACUGUAACUGACGUUGAGGCUCGAAAGCGUGGGGAGCAAACAGGAUUAGAUACCCCAGUAGUC